rnacentral:rRNA from 1 species
UACAGAGGUGGCAAGCGUUGUUCGGAAUUACUGGGCGUAAAGGGCGCGUAGGCGGUCUUGUCAGUCCCUUGUGAAAUCCCUCGGCUCAACCGGGGAACUGCGUCUGAUACUGGGUGGCUUGAAUCCGGGAGAGGGAUGCGGAAUUCCAGGUGUAGCGGUGAAAUGCGUAGAUAUCUGGAGGAACACCGGUGGCGAAGGCGGCAUCCUGGACCGGUAUUGACGCUGAGGCGCGAAAGCCAGGGGAGCAAACGGG